rnacentral:rRNA from 1 species
GACGAACGCUGGCGGCGUGCCUAAUACAUGCAAGUCGAGCGCAGGAAACUGACGGAACUCUUCGGAGGGAAGGCAGCGGAAUGAGCGGCGGACGGGUGAGUAACACGUAAGGAACCUACCUCAAGGAUUGGGAUAACUCCGAGAAAUCGGAGCUAAUACCGGAUAGUUCAUCGGACCGCAUGGUCCGUUGAUGAAAGGCGCUCCGGCGUCACCUUGAGAUGGCCUUGCGGUGCAUUAGCUAGUUGGUGGGGUAACGGCCCACCGAGGCGACGAUGCAUAGCCGACCUGAGAGGGUGAUCGGCCACACUGGGACUGAGACACGGCCCAGACUCCUACGGGAGGCAGCAGUAGGGAAUCUUCCACAAUGGACGAAAGUCUGAUGGAGCAACGCCGCGUGAGUGAUGAAGGUUUUCGGAUCGUAAAACUCUGUUGUAAGGGAAGAACACGUACGAGAGGAAAUGCUCGUACCUUGACGGUACCUUACGAGAAAGCCACGGCUAACUACGUGCCAGCCGCCGCAGUAA